GAGGCUGGCAGGAAGGGCAGAAGCUCACCUCCCCCAGCACAGCUGUUACCACCAGCUCACAGCAGCAUGCAGCCGUCCCCAGCCCGUCCCAGCGUGUCACCCUGCCCUCAACAGCCAGAUUGAAGUGUUCUUCCAUCAGCUUCUACUGGUCACAGACAAGACAGAUGCCUUAACCCCGUGUUUAAAAGAAAAUAACAGAUGAUAUGCGAGGUAAACUCAGGCUGCAAUUCUCUCUAUGGGUUUAAAUCUUUUGCUUUCAGCAAGUUUUUGCACUAUUCUUCCCCUUCUGAGUCCACAACUUCAGGCACACAGCCACAUCCAGGAAACCCUCAGGUAAGACCACAAGGGACAGGGCACACCACAAGCAUCCCAAAGAUGAAGCAAAAACUGACUUGGGCAGAACCUCUUUCUUCCCAGCACCCAACGUAACCAUUGGACCAACACAAAGACCCCCAGGAUGCUCCAUGGGGUGGAGUGGCUUCCUGAGCCCAUCAGCCUGCAGCACUGGGGCUGCUCACCCUCCGUAAUCUCUUUUCUCCAGGAUUGCCUUCAGCAUGCCUUUAAGGGCACCAAGGCGGGAUGGGAGUGCACAUCCCACCACCAGGGACAAAACCCCGUCCAGGGCUUUUAUCACAGAUGACAAGGAUCUCACAGCAGGUGUAGGAGUGACUGCAGGGAUCUCUCUGUUGGGAACCACCAGGAAGGAAGCUGCUUACAGGGAAAGAUCCAAAACCUCACAUCCAGAAGCAGCUCUUCUGGCACACCCAAGCACCUCCAAGCUCCCAGAUCAGCUGCACUUGUGCCACCUCCAUCCCCAUUCAGCUUUUCCAGGACUUACUCCACAUCUGCCAUCUGUCAAAAGGGCUUGGGAGGAAAGCUCUCAUGGAACCCAACUGAAAAACAGCACUCCUUUUCCUAAAACGGAACACUUUCUCCCAAACUUGUUUUCUAAAAGCACAGAGACAUUUCCAGCCCUGCCUUCUGCUCCUGCACCACACCACAGAGAGGUAUUUUCCACACUGAAAAGCCAUUUUAGCUCAUUCUUUACAGUUACUUUUACAUUUUACAUCAAUUUACAUGUUUAUAGUCACCUUUUCCCCCACAGGCAACCACAUUACACCCUCACAAAGAACUGAAAUAAAAAGUUGGGUAGGGGGGAUCCCCUGGGCCCAGAGGUGAUGAGGGAAGGAAGAACCCUUGUGCAGCGGCCUGCACUCCUCCAGAAACACUUAUGCUGGCUGCACAACACAGAGGGAACUCCCUGCAUCCACAGCUUUUCUUCCUGUUUCCCAAAUAAUAAGGAGCUCCUCGGAAGCACCUUUUUGGCAUUCAAAAUAUUUGCACUCUCCCACCAGAAAAGCAACGCAGUGCUUUCCCAGGGCCCUGCUGAUUUAGCAUAGCUUAGAAAUAACGCUGGGCUUCCAGCUAUUGCCAUGCGGGAAACAAAAGAAACGAAUCAAAGGAAAAUGGUGGCGCACAUUCACAAACAUCACUGUGUUUUGGAGCUGAGUCUCCUCGACGACCCAGCUUUAUCAAAAAGUGCAGGGCAGCAAGCCAAAGCACCUAUCCCAGCUUUUCGUUGUGCCAUCACAAUGUUUCUCUGCAGCUCCAAAUGGAGUGUUCAGUGCGAAAACCCAUUCUCCUUGGGCUGCUCCUGUGACAGGACAUGCAGCACAAGGCAGGAGGGAUAGAGCCAACCAACAGUGUGCAGGACGCCUUCAUCUCACACCACCACUCCGCUCCAGGAAACCCACUGCUUUCUGCUGAAUUAGCAGGAAAGGAAGGGAUCCCAACACUGGGACAUAGCAUCACUGCUUACCUACUUGUAUGCAAGAAACCAGGCAAUUCCGGUGCUGGGAGGCACCCAGCAGCACCAUGCAGAUACUCACAGUGCUGUACACGGCGGAGACGGUUGGCGUGAAGAUCCGCUCCUCCAGGGGCUGCUGCACGGGGCCGCGGGGGAUCCUGCAGGCAGCGCGUUAAGGAAAGCAGCACAGGGAGAGACGUGGGGGGAAGUGCUGCUUUCUCCCCCCACCCCACACAGAGCCAUAGCCAUCAUCAUCCUGUUUGCAUUUGCCUCCCUAUGGCAGUAAGUCCCCUCCCUGCCCACCCAACGAGGCUGCUGCCAACAGGUUUUAAGUCUCAGUGUGGAGCCAACUGCUGUAGUUCUCUUGAAAUGGAAAGGUACCAAGGGCACCCAGAGGAAAUAAAGAGAGAAUGGAACAAGCAAAUGAGCAAUCCCUACUCCAAAAAGGGCCCGUUCUUGAGUCUGGAAAAACUGUUUCAGCCUCAAGCAGGUAAGAAAAUAAAUCCUAAUUUUAGAACUUAUAUAAGCCAUGGGAAAAUAAUCUCUGAGCAGUCAGCUUGCUGCCUGUGCCCAGGGCUGGGUGGGCUGCUGCCAGAUCACUUCUGGAAAGCGAUGGUUCUCAUCAGAUUAAAAGGAAACCUUUAAGUCCUUCUGCUACGGGACUUGAUCUGGGCACAAGACUGAUAGAGACAGGAGUGCCUUAAGUUCCAGAAAGCCUUAAUGAGAUCUAAAGGGUGGAGAAAGUGCUUAUUUCCUGCACCCGGCUUCUGGCAAAUGCAGUCACUGGGUGGGCAGUACAGUGCUCCUGGGGCUCCCAUGGGGUGGGAUGGGAUAGGCAGAGCAGUGCUCCAGGGGCCAUGAAAGAGGUUGGUUAGAGCAGCCUGCCUGCAGCACCCUUUGCUACCUGGGGAAUUCAGCCCCCAUUGCAGCGUGCCCGUGCUGCCAUGCCACACAGACAACAAAUGCACAGCACUUACAGCCAGGAGGAAUUCCUUGCCAUAAUCUUUCUCCUGUACAAGACAAGUGAGCCCCUCUGCCAGCCCCCAGGGUUAAACAACCCCACUGUAUGGCCCUGCUUGUACCACAACUGUGCAUUAAAUAUCUGAAAAUAUGAGACAAAGCCAUGACGUGAGCAUACAGAGCAUUGAACCACAGCAAGCCCAAACCCUCAGCACCACCUGCAGCUUUCUGGUGCACGGAACGUAAGGGCCCCUCAGCCAGGCAGUGCUGGGCUGCAUCAGCGCUCUGCAUCUGAGGGGAACUCCAUCACAGCAUAAACUCCUCAGGAAGCAGUUGUGCAAACGCUCCAAACUUUGUGCUCCAAAGCAGCUGCUCCCUGUGCCCCAGUGGAGCAGCAGGUACAGCCAUGCGCCUGGUUGUUUAGCAGGUACUUUAAAUCAGUGAAACCCCCUGAGAGGUGCUAAAAAAAUAAACAACUCUUCCUGACACAAGCACACCAAACUGCAGUCAGAGGUUCAGAGACACAGGCAAAGAAUUCCCUAAGAAGCCAUGUCCUCCUCACACCCAUCCUUAAUCCUGACAUCAAGGACAGUUUGCUGACUGCUCAAGUAUAAGAACACAUUAAAAGGUAUUUGCAAAAUGGCAGCAAUGGGGUUUACAGUGAGGACACUGCCUAGAACUACCAGGCUGCGUACAGCAGCACAUCACUACAGCCCUACUGCUGCCAGCAGAUGCAAACCGUGCUCCGAGAUUCACCACCUGCUGUAAUUGCUUAUAACCAGAAGGAUCUUCAGGCAAAAGCUAUUAUUAAGCUUGUUUCAACAUUUUACAGCUUGAUAUAAAGACCCUUACUGCAACAUGUAGAGUCAACGCUCGGAACUGCAUUGCCAUUUGUCAGGACAUAUAAAAUUUAAGUGGAUCAACAAAGUGUGUAAAUUGGCCUCUUAAUCCAUCACCUUAUUCUGUGUAUUAAACGGUAAAACCAAA